GGACGCAUAGCUCUUAAAUGGUAGAGCGCCCGCCGUGUCGACAACGAUGUCGGCGCAGUGGGAGGUUGCGGGUUCGAGUCCCGCUGUGUCCA
rnacentral:tRNA from 1 species